rnacentral:rRNA from 1 species
CCUACGGGUGGCAGCAGUAGGGAAUUUUCCACAAUGGGCGAAAGCCUGAUGGAGCAACGCCGCGUGGGUGAAGAAGGUCUUCGGAUCGUAAAACCCUGUUGUCAGAGAAGAAAGUGCGUGAGAGUAACUGUUCACGUUUCGACGGUAUCUAACCAGAAAGCCACGGCAAACUACGUGCCAGCAGCCGCGGUAAUACGUAGGUGGCAAGCGUUAUCCGGAUUUACUGGGCGUAAAGGGAACGCAGACGGUCGUUUAAGUCUGAUGUGAAAGCCUUCGGCUUAACCGGAGUAGUGCAUUGGAAACUGGGCGACUGGAGUGCAGGAGAGGAGAGUGGAACUCCAUGUGUAGCGGUGAAAUGCGUAGAUAUAUGGAGGAACACCAGUGGCGAAGGCGGCUCUCUGGUCUGUAACUGACGCUGAGGUUCGAAAGCGUGGGGAGCAAACAGGAUUAGAUACCCGAGUAGUC